GCCAGCGGCGAUAGCCCGUUGAAUACAAAAGUUCCCAUAUCACUUAAGCUAACCAAAGUUGCCUUUGGUUAGUAUCCGGAUGUGUGACCAUCUGUAUAAUUGAGUUCUCCCGGCC
rnacentral:rRNA from 1 species